CGGGGCUUCUUCUCCGGCUACAGUCAUUAUCUUCACCGGUGGAAGUAUUUUACAAUCCUAAGACCUUCGGGUUGUAAAGUACUUUCAGCGGGGAGGAAGGGAGUAAAGUUAAUACCUUUGCUCAUUGACGUUACCCGCAGAAGRAGCACCGGCUAACUCCGUGCCAGCAGYCGCGGUAAUACGGAGGGUGCAAGCGUUAAAUCGGAAUUACUGGGCGUAAAAGCGCACGCAGGCGGUUUGUUAAAGUCGGA
rnacentral:rRNA from 1 species